UACGAAGGGGGCUAGCGUUGUUCGGAAUUACUGGGCGUAAAGGGCGCGUAGGCGGAUGUCUAAGUUGGGGGUGAAAUCCCGGGGCUCAACCUCGGAACCGCCUUCAAUACUGGAUAUCUUGAGUUCGGGAGAGGUGAGUGGAAUGCCGAGUGUAGAGGUGAAAUUCGUAGAUAUUCGGCGGAACACCAGUGGCGAAGGCGACUCACUGGCCCGAUACUGACGCUGAGGCGCGAAAGCGUGGGGAGCAAACAGGG
rnacentral:rRNA from 1 species